ACGAACGCUGGCGGCAUGCCUAACACAUGCAAGUCGAACGAGACCUUCGGGUCUAGUGGCGCACGGGUGCGUAACGCGUGGGAACCUGCCCUUAGGUUCGGAAUAACUCCCCGAAAGGGGUGCUAAUACCGGAUAAUGUCUUCGGCCCAAAGAUUUAUCGCCUUUGGAUGGGCCCGCGUUGGAUUAGCUAGUUGGUAGGGUAAAAGCCUACCAAGGCGACGAUCCAUAGCUGGUCUGAGAGGAUGAUCAGCCACACUGGGACUGAGACACGGCCCAGACUCCUACGGGAGGCAGCAGUGGGGAAUAUUGGACAAUGGGCGAAAGCCUGAUCCAGCAAUGCCGCGUGAGUGAUGAAGGCCUUAGGGUUGUAAAGCUCUUUUACCCGGGAUGAUAAUGACAGUACCGGGAGAAUAAGCUCCGGCUAACUCCGUG
rnacentral:rRNA from 1 species